UACGGAGGGUGCAAGCGUUAUCCGGAAUCACUGGGUUUAAAGGGUGCGUAGGCGGCUUGAUAAGUCAGCGGUGAAAGCCCACGGCUUAACUGUGGAACUGCCUUUGAUACUGUCAGGCUUGAAUUGGGUUGAGGCAGACGGAAUGUGGCAUGUAGCGGUGAAAUGCUUAGAUAUGCCAUAGAACACCGAUUGCGAAGCCAGGCUGCCAAGCCUUGAAUGACGCUGAGGCACGAAAGCGUGGGGAGCGAACAGG
rnacentral:rRNA from 1 species